GCGCCCGUAGCUCAGCAGGAUAGAGCAGCGGUUUCCUAAACCGCGUGUCGGGGGUUCGAGUCCCUCCGGGUGCGCCA
rnacentral:tRNA from 4 species